GAGAAAACAAGAAAAUCUUUGGUGUAUAUAGUGCCAGUGCUCAAUCUCAGACCCUCUGUGCACACAGUAUGAUGCUGUCCGUGUAGAAGGUGAUACAAGUUCAGAAUGCCCCGAUACACAUACCAUUACCAUGAAUGCACCUGGAAGGUAAAGCUGGGGGAAAGGAAAUGGAAGUCAAAGAAGUGUAAAUACUCCUUCAAGUGUGUGAAUAGUCUCAAGGAAGGUCACAGACAGCCACUGUUUGAGGUUCAGUUUAACUGGCGCAGUAAAGGUGGGGAUCCAUUAGUGUUCACAACAGUAUGAAGCAAAAGAGUAAGUCUUCCUGGAUGUGAGCUGGUAGAUGCAGGUGUGUGCAUAAAUACUGAAUUGUGAUGUUUUUGAAGUUUAUGUAGUUGGCUUGGCUGUUUUUUUGUAUAAAGUUACGGGCUGAGGAGACAGCAAAAUGAUUAUACAAAAGGCAUUCAUCCCUGACUCUUUAAGGACCCAGAUAGAAACCCCAGCAUCACCCAUAGCUAGAGCUGAGCAGUG